rnacentral:rRNA from 1 species
GACAGAGGAUGCAGCGUUAUCCGGAAUGAUUGGGCGUAAAGGCGUCUAUAGGUGGCUUUUCAAGUCCGCCGUCAAAUCCUAGGGCUCAACCCUGGACAGGCGGUGGAAACUACCAAGCGUAGAGUACAGUGAGGGGCAGAGGGAAUUUCCGGUGGAGCGGUGAAAUGCAUUGAGAUCGGAAAGAACAACCAAAUGGCCGAA